rnacentral:rRNA from 1 species
GAUGAACGCUGGCGGCGUGCCUAAUACAUGCAAGUCGAGCGAACGGACGAGAAGCUUGCUUCUCUGAUGUUAGCGGCGGACGGGUGAGUGACACGUGGAUAACCUACCUAUAAGACUGGGAUAACUUCGGGAAACCGUAGCUAAUACCGGAUAAUAUUUUGAACCGCAUGGUUCAAAAGUGAAAGACGGUCUUGCUGUCACUUAUAGAUGGAUCCGCGCUGCAUUAGCUAGUUGGUAGGGUAACGGCUUACCAAGGCAACGAUGCAUAGCCGACCUGAGAGGGUGAUCGGCCACACUGGAACUGAGACACGGUCCAGACUCCUACGGGAGGCAGCAGUAGGGAAUCUUCCGCAAUGGGCGAAAGCCUGACGGAGCAACGCCGCGUGAGUGAUGAAGGUCUUCGGAUCGUAAAACUCUGUUAUUAGGGAAGAACAUAUGUGUAAGUAACUGUGCACAUCUUGACGGUACCUAAUCAGAAAGCCACGGCUAACUACGUG